UACGUAGGGUCCGAGCGUUGUCCGGAAUUACUGGGCGUAAAGAGCUCGUAGGUGGUUUGUCGCGUUGUUCGUGAAAACUCACAGCUCAACUGUGGGCGUGCGGGCGAUACGGGCAGACUGGAGUACUGCAGGGGAGACUGGAAUUCCUGGUGUAGCAGUGAAAUGCGCAGAUAUCAGGAGGAACACCGGUGGCGAAGGCGGGUCUCUGGGCCGAUACUGACGCUGAGGAGCGAAAGCGUGGGGAGCAAACAGG
rnacentral:rRNA from 1 species